rnacentral:hammerhead_ribozyme from 1 species
AUCUUGCUGACGAGUCCCAAACAGGAAGAAACACAUGUCUUGGAU